rnacentral:rRNA from 1 species
GACAGAGGGUGCAAGCGUUAUCCGGAAUGAUUGGGCGUAAAGCGUCUGUAGGUGGCUUUUCAAGUCCGCCGUCAAAUCCCAGGGCUCAACCCUGGACAGGCGGUGGAAACUACCAAGCUGGAGUACGGUAGGGGCAGAGGGAAUUUCCGGUGGAGCGGUGAAAUGCGUAGAUAUUGGGAAGAACACCGGUGGCGAAAGCGCUCUGCUGGACCUGCACUGACACUGAGGGACGAAAGCUAGGGGAGCGAAAGGG